GACGAACGCUGGCGGCGUGCUUAACACAUGCAAGUCGAACGGAAAGGCCCUGCUUUUGUGGGGUGCUCGAGUGGCGAACGGGUGAGUAACACGUGAGUAACCUGCCCUUGACUUUGGGAUAACUUCUGGAAACUGGGGCUAAUACCGGAUAGGAGCUCCUGCUGCAUGGUGGGGGUUGGAAAGUUUCGGCGGUUGGGGAUGGACUCGCGGCUUAUCAGCUUGUUGGUGGGGUAGUGGCUUACCAAGGCUUUGACGGGUAGCCGGCCUGAGAGGGUGACCGGCCACAUUGGGACUGAGAUACGGCCCAGACUCCUACGGGAGGCAGCAGUGGGGAAUAUUGCACAAUGGGCGGAAGCCUGAUGCAGCAACGCCGCGUGCGGGAUGACGGCCUUCGGGUUGUAAACCGCUUUCGCCUGUGACGAAGCGUGAGUGACGGGAAUGGGGAAAGAAGCACCGGCUAACUACGU
rnacentral:rRNA from 1 species